AUUUCAGAAUUUUGUUUCGGGCGGCGACAAGCCUGAGUAAUGAUUUUCGCAAAGUGCUGUCUUGUGCUGAUAGCCACGUGGACAAUGUGCACGGAAGCAAAGUAUUUGGUCUCACAAGGUAGUGAACCGGAAAAUGCGCUGCUCAUUAGUUCAAGAAAUUUAGAACAGCAAACACAGCAGAAGACCGAUAACCAUCAUUCCAAACCACACAAGCAUGGGAAACAUCACCCAGACCAAUGUAGUGAUGGACAGGGCCAUCAUGUAAGAAAUGGAGUGGGAUGUGCGAAAUACAUAAUGAGUGACGGGAAGCAUUCCGGAGGCGAGCAAGAGUGCCUGGUUGGCAUUUGUAAUAACGGAACUUGCACCAAUUUGAGAAAUGCGAAGUGCGCCGACAGCUGACGUACAUACAAUUGAUCGCCGAAAAUACUACGAGCCAUGUGUGAUUCGUCUAUAAAGUCCCCUUGGU